rnacentral:rRNA from 1 species
UCGAGAAUCUUCCGCAAUGGGCGAAAGCCUGACGGAGCGACACCGCGUGCAGGACGAAGGCCCUCGGGUUGUAAACUGCUGUCACGCUCUAGGAAACCCAUGUUGUUAAUAGCGACAUGGCUGACCAAAGCGAGAGGAAGUGGCGGCUAACUCUGUGCCAGCAGCCGCGGUAAGACAGAGGCCACAAACGUUGUUCGGAAUCACUGGGCAUAAAGCGCACGUAGGCGGCUAGGUCCGUCCAAUGUGAAAG